rnacentral:rRNA from 1 species
UACGGAGGAUCCAAGCGUUAUCCGGAUUUAUUGGGUUUAAAGGGUGCGUAGGCGGCUUAUUAAGUCAGGGGUGAAAGACGGUGGCUCAACCAUCGCAGUGCCUUUGAUACUGAUGAGCUUGAAUACACUAGAGGUAGGCGGAAUGUGACAAGUAGCGGUGAAAUGCAUAGAUAUGUCACAGAACACCGAUUGCGAAGGCAGCUUACUACGGUGUCAUUGACGCUGAGGCACGAAAGCGUGGGGAUCAAACAGG